GUGACGAUAGUUUAGUGGUAGAACGGUGGCUCUUUAGAUUUAAUAGCGUGGCUAGUUGUAGUCGCCUACAGCAAACAUGCAAAUCAUAAUUCUACUUUAAAAGACCAAGCCACAGACGUGGGUUCGAUUCCUACUCGUCACA
rnacentral:tRNA from 1 species